rnacentral:rRNA from 1 species
CUGGGCCUACGGGGCGCAGCAGUGGGGAAUAUUGGGCAAUGGAGGCAACUCUGACCCAGCAACGCCGCGUGAAUGAUGAAGGUCUUCGGAUUGUAAAGUUCUGUGAUGGGGGAUGAACACAAUGACGGUACCCCAAUAGCAAGCCACGGCUAACUACGUGCCAGCAGCCGCGGUAAUACGUAGGUGGCAAGCGUUAUCCGGAUUUACUGGGUGUAAAGGGAGCGUAGGCGGCGAUGCAAGUCAGAAGUGAAAGCCCGGGGCUCAACUCCGGGACUGCUUUUGAAACUGUGUUGCUAGAUUGGAGG